rnacentral:rRNA from 1 species
GUGGGGAAUAUUGGGCAAUGGGCGAAAGCCUGACCCAGCAACGCCGCGUGAGGGAAGAAGGCCUUCGGGUUGUAAACCUCUGUCCUUGGUGACGAAAAAAAUGACGGUAGCCAAGGAGGAAGCCCCGGCUAACUACGUGCCAGCAGCCGCGGUAAUACGUAGGGGGCGAGCGUUGUCCGGAAUUACUGGGCGUAAAGGGUGCGUAGGUGGCCUUUUAAGUUGGAUGUGAAAUCCCCGGGCUUAACUUGGGUGGUGCAUCUAAUACUGGAGGGCUAGAGUGCAGGAGAGGGAAGCGGAAUUCCUAGUGUAGCGGUGAAAUGCGUAGAUAUUAGGAGGAACACCAGUGGCGAAGGCGGCUUUCUGGACUGUAACUGACACUGAGGCACGAAAGCGUGGGGAGCAAACAGGAUUAGAUACCCCUGUAGUCC